rnacentral:lncRNA from 1 species
ACACGGGCAUCUAAACAGGUCCACACGUGCUCAUCCUGGUCCUGGCCUUGAGAAGAUCCACCUGCUUUUCUGUGGUAAGAUCUCUUUCUCCAGAUAAUGGGGUUAAUU